rnacentral:rRNA from 1 species
AGGACGAACGUUUGCGGCGUGCCUAAUGUAUGCAAGUCGAGCGGAGCGGUUUCCUUCGGGAGGCCGUUCAGCGGCGAACGGUUGAGUAACACGUAGGCAACCUGCCCCGAAGUCGGGAAUAACUCAUCGAAAGGUGGGCUAAUACCGGAUGUGGAGCCGACUGCCUGGUCGGUUCUCUAAAGGCGCAAGCCGCUUCGGGAUGGGCCUGCGGCCUAUCAGCUAGUUGGUGGGGUAACGGCCCACCAAGGCGACGACGGGUAGC